AUUGAACGCUGGCGGCAUGCCUUACACAUGCAAGUCGAACGGCAGCACGGAGCUUGCUCUGGUGGCGAGUGGCGAACGGGUGAGUGAUAUAUCGGAACGUACCCUAGAGUGGGGGAUAACGUAGCGAAAGUUACGCUAAUACCGCAUACGAUCUAAGGAUGAAAGUGGGGGAUCGCAAGACCUCAUGCUCGUGGAGCGGCCGAUAUCUGAUUAGCUAGUUGGUAGGGUAAAAGCCUACCAAGGCAUCGAUCAGUAGCUGGUCUGAGAGGACGACCAGCCACACUGGAACUGAGACACGGUCCAGACUCCUACGGGAGGCAGCAGUGGGGAAUUUUGGACAAUGGGCGAAAGCCUGAUCCAGCAAUGCCGCGUGAGUGAAGAAGGCCUUCGGGUUGUAGAGCUCUUUUGUCAGGGAAGAAACGGUGGGAGCUAAUAUCUCUUGCUAAUGACGGUACCUGAAGAAUAAGCACCGGCUAACUACGUGCCAGCAGCCGCGGUAAUACGUAGGGUGCAAGCGUUAAUCGGAAUUACUGGGCGUAAAGCGUGCGCAGGCGGUUUUGUAAGUCUGAUGUGAAAUCCCCGGGCUCAACCUGGGAAUUGCAUUGGAGACUGCAAGGCUAGAAUCUGGCAGAGGGGGGUAGAAUUCCACGUGUAGCAGUGAAAUGCGUAGAUAUGUGGAGGAACACCGAUGGCGAAGGCAGCCCCCUGGGUCAAGAUUGACGCUCAUGCACGAAAGCGUGGGGAGCAAACAGGAUUAGAUACCCUGGUAGUCCACGCCCUAAACGAUGUCUACUAGUUGUCGGGUCUUAAUUGACUUGGUAACGCAGCUAACGCGUGAAGUAGACCGCCUGGGGAGUACGGUCGCAAGAUUAAAACUCAAAGGAAUUGACGGGGACCCGCACAAGCGGUGGAUGAUGUGGAUUAAUUCGAUGCAACGCGAAAAACCUUACCUACCCUUGACAUGGCUGGAAUCCUUGAGAGAUCAGGGAGUGCUCGAAAGAGAACCAGUACACAGGUGCUGCAUGGCUGUCGUCAGCUCGUGUCGUGAGAUGUUGGGUUAAGUCCCGCAACGAGCGCAACCCUUGUCAUUAGUUGCUACGAAAGGGCACUCUAAUGAGACUGCCGGUGACAAACCGGAGGAAGGUGGGGAUGACGUCAAGUCCUCAUGGCCCUUAUGGGUAGGGCUUCACACGUCAUACAAUGGUACAUACAGAGCGCCGCCAACCCGCGAGGGGGAGCUAAUCGCAGAAAGUGUAUCGUAGUCCGGAUUGUAGUCUGCAACUCGACUGCAUGAAGUUGGAAUCGCUAGUAAUCGCGGAUCAGCAUGUCGCGGUGAAUACGUUCCCGGGUCU
rnacentral:rRNA from 1 species